GCUGCCCCCGGGAGGGUCUUAGCUGUGGCGCGCGGGGCUCAGUCCGGCCUGGCCUCACCGCGGGAGGCCCGAGCUCCCUCUUCAGCUAGGUCCUAUUGGUCUUCCUGGGCGGGUCAGCAUUCAGUCUUCGCCCACCUUAGAUCCCUCCACUGCGCUGUAAAACUGCCUUGGAGUGCGGAUCUGUGAUGCUCCUGGGCCAGGCCUAGAGUGGGCACAGCCUCUGUGGGAGAUGUAGACAGGAUCAAAGAGUAUACCUUUUACGGCUGUUCCUCACAGCUCCUUUUAUUCUCCCUCAAGUCCCGACCCUUUACUGGGCCCAUCCAACCCGCCAUCACCUCUUCCCAAACCCUGGAGGCUGCAGGUUAGAACUGCAUUAAGGGAGCUGUCAACAUAUGGAAUUGGAGUAGGCUAUGUACCUUGCACCUAGGCUUCUAUCUGAACAUAAGGGGGAAUGAAUAAAGCCAUCAAAAGCAAUGACCUUGUUAAGAAAAGAAAGAAAAGGAGAAUGACAGCUUUGUGGCCUUCAAGUUAUCUGGGAACAAAGCAGGACAAGUCUGGGCACCUGAAGGAUCUACUGCUUUCAAGUGUCUGCUUUCAGCAAGGUUAUGUGCUGCUCUCCUGAGCAACAUCUCUGACUGUGAUGAAACAUUCAACUACUGGGAGCCAACACACUACCUCAUCUAUGGGGAAGGGUUUCAGACUUGGGAAUAUUCCCCAGCAUAUGCCAUUCGCUCCUAUGCUUACCUGUUGCUUCAUGCCUGGCCAGCUGCAUUUCAUGCAAGAAUUCUACAAACUAAUAAGAUUCUUGUGUUUUACUUUUUGCGAUGUCUUCUGGCUUUUGUGAGCUGUAUUUGUGAACUUUACUUUUACAAGGCUGUGUGCAAGAAGUUUGGGUUGCACGUGAGUCGAAUGAUGCUAGCCUUCUUGGUUCUCAGCACUGGCAUGUUUUGCUCAUCAUCAGCAUUCCUUCCUAGUAGCUUCUGUAUGUACACUACGUUGAUAGCCAUGACUGGAUGGUAUAUGGACAAGACUUCCAUUGCUGUGCUGGGAGUAGCAGCUGGGGCUAUCUUAGGCUGGCCAUUCAGUGCAGCUCUUGGUUUACCCAUUGCCUUUGAUUUGCUGGUCAUGAAACACAGGUGGAAGAGUUUCUUUCAUUGGUCGCUGAUGGCCCUCAUACUAUUUCUGGUGCCUGUGGUGGUCAUUGACAGCUACUAUUAUGGGAAGUUGGUGAUUGCACCACUCAACAUUGUUUUGUAUAAUGUCUUUACUCCUCAUGGACCUGAUCUUUAUGGUACAGAACCCUGGUAUUUCUAUUUAAUUAAUGGAUUUCUGAAUUUCAAUGUAGCCUUUGCUUUGGCUCUCCUAGUCCUACCACUGACUUCUCUUAUGGAAUACCUGCUGCAGAGAUUUCAUGUUCAGAAUUUAGGCCACCCGUAUUGGCUUACCUUGGCUCCAAUGUAUAUUUGGUUUAUAAUUUUCUUCAUCCAGCCUCACAAAGAGGAGAGAUUUCUUUUCCCUGUGUAUCCACUUAUAUGUCUCUGUGGCGCUGUGGCUCUCUCUGCACUUCAGCACAGUUUUCUGUACUUCCAGAAAUGUUACCACUUUGUGUUUCAACGAUAUCGCCUGGAGCACUAUACUGUGACAUCGAAUUGGCUGGCAUUAGGAACUGUCUUCCUGUUUGGGCUCUUGUCAUUUUCUCGCUCUGUGGCACUGUUCAGAGGAUAUCACGGGCCCCUUGAUUUGUAUCCAGAAUUUUACCGAAUUGCUACAGACCCAACCAUCCACACUGUCCCAGAAGGCAGACCUGUGAAUGUCUGUGUGGGAAAAGAGUGGUAUCGAUUUCCCAGCAGCUUCCUUCUUCCUGACAAUUGGCAGCUUCAGUUCAUUCCAUCAGAGUUCAGAGGUCAGUUACCAAAACCUUUUGCAGAAGGACCUCUGGCCACCCGGAUUGUUCCUACUGACAUGAAUGACCAGAAUCUAGAAGAGCCAUCCAGAUAUAUUGAUAUCAGUAAAUGCCAUUAUUUAGUGGAUUUGGACACCAUGAGAGAAACACCCCGGGAGCCAAAAUAUUCAUCCAAUAAAGAAGAAUGGAUCAGCUUGGCCUAUAGACCAUUCCUUGAUGCUUCUAGUUUUGAAGGCUGGAAGACCAAGAUCACGAUGCCAGUAUAGUCAAGUUCUGGUAAAGGCCAUCUUUCUGGCUGCAGACAGCUGACUUGUAUCCUCACAUGGCUGCAAGAAGACAAGCUAGCUCUCUAGCCUCUUCUUAUAAGGACAUUAAUCCCAUUGUUGAGUGCUCCACUCUUUUGACCUAAUUCCCUUCCAAAGGCCCACCUCCAAAUACCAUCACAUAGAUCUUCAAAGCUGCUGCGGGCAUUCUAUGUCCCCUUCCUGUCAGAUCAGUAUACAGUGUACGUAAACUACACCAUCCUCAAACCCCGGAAAGCAAAGCAAAUCAGGAAGAAAAGUGGAGGUUAGCAACACACCUGUGGCCCCAAAGGACAACCAUCUUGUUAACUAUUGAUUCCAGUGACCUGACUCCCUGCAAGUCAUCGCCUGUAACAUUUGUAAUAAAGGUCUUCUGACAUGAAUACUGGAAUCUGGGUGCUCUGGGCUAGUCAAAGUCUAUUUCAAAGUCUAAUCAAAGUCACAUUUGCUCCCUGUGUGUGUCUCUGUUCUGCAUGUAAACUUUUUGCAGCUAGGCAGAGAAAGGCCCUAAAGCACAGAUAGAUAUAUUGCUCCACAUCUCAUUGUUUUUCCUCUGUUCAAUUAUUUACUAGACCGGAGAAGAGCAGAACCAACUUACAGGAAGAAUUGAAAAUCCUGGUACUGGAUGGCUGUGAUAAGCUGUUCUCCACACUCUGGCCUGGCAUCUGAGAACUAGCAAGCCUCUCUUAGGCCAUAUGGGCUUCUCCACCAAAGCUGUUUGGCAGCUCCUAGCAGACCUUCUUAUUGAAAUCCUCAUGCUGAAAAUGAACACAGCCUAGUUGCCAACCCACAUGUCCUUUUCACCUCCAGCAAGACUAAGCUUCUUUAAAGCACUUCACAGGACUAGGACCCUGUCCUGGAGCUAUCUCAGGAAAAAGGUGACCAUUUGAGGAACUGUGACCUAAUUUUAUUAUAAUGAUGCCUCUAAUUUUCAUUUCCUUUACAACCAACUGUAACUAUAAGGUUGUAUUGCUUUUUUGUUCAGUUUUAGCAUGCUAUUUUUUGAAUUCUAGACUCCUCCAUGUGAAGAUAUCAACAGACAAAACUACAACUGUAUAGGACAUAUUUGGAGAAAAUUCUAUCAAUUGAUACAUUUGGAUGACAUCACAUUUUUAAGUAAUGUAAUCUGAGGCCAUUGCUGAGGAAAUUAAGAAUUUUCCUUUUUUUUUAACCACCCCCAGUGAAAAGGAUCAGUGUAUAUUUAUAGCACCUAUUUUUUAGUUCUGUCUGUUGUGAGGCACAUCCUGCAUGGGGCACUUCUAGUCAAAUAGGCAAUGAUAAGGACCUAAUUAAAAUGUGAUAAGUGUAUACUAUUACUUUAAAAGCCUUUACAGUCAGUACUUCAGUUUACAAGGCACUUUCACAGCAUCUCGUUUGAUCCUCACAGUCACAACAUGUGGUAGACAAGGCAGGUGAUUUUUAUCCCCAUUUUACAGAUAAGGAAACAGGCUGCGGGUGGGGAGUGAGGGGAGGUAAAGAUAGUUAGUUGCCUAAGGUCACACAGCCAGUAAGUAAUAGAGCUGGGACUGGAACCCAGGUUUCCUUACUCUCAUCUAUUGCUCCUCCAUAUUCCUCACUCAACCAUGAAAACAUUACUUGAAAGGACUGAUGAGGUUAACCAGAGACCUAACUGAUAUUGUAACUUUCUAUUUUAAGGAAGAAUUGUGUCUGUAUUUGAGUUCUUUGGAGCCUCCAGUCUGCCUGUGUGUUAGACCAGCACAGCAGUGCUGUGUGAUGCAGCCUGACCUGUGGCAGGAAAGUAGUGCUUCUGUUUGGAAGUCAUGUUCUUUUGCAGCCACACAGGAUCCAAAUAUCAGUACUAUUCCUGUAGUCAAUCUGGGGUCACAUUAUAGGUGCCUUAUUUCCCUAAGGGUAACUGAUCUGAAUAUCUGCAAAUAGGAUGAAUCUAUUUUUCAGAAGUUCCAUCUUUCAUUUUUCUUUUUUUUUUUGAGACAGAGUCUCAUUCUGUCGCCCAUGCUGGAGUGCAGUGGCGCGAUCUCGGCUCGCUGCAACCUCUGCCUCCCAGGUUGAAGCAAUUCUCAUGCCUCAGCCACCCGAGUAGCUGGGAUUACAGGCAUGCGCCAUCAUGCCCAGCUAAUUUAUGUAUUUUUAGUAGAGUUGGAGUUUCACCAUGUUGGCCAGGCUGGUCUUGGACUCCUGACCUCAGGUCAUCCACCCGCCUCAGCCUCCCAAAGUGCUGGUAUUACAGGCGUGAGCCACCGCACCCAGCCCCAUCUUUCAUUUUCAAAGAGAAGGGCAUUCUAAUAGGAACUGGUGCCAAGAGAGAAGAAAAGAAGUGAUAACAGAAGAAAUGGCUAGUUACAAUAUUAAAAAGCUCCUCUUUGAGAUCUCCUCUGCAGGAAUAUCAGAGACGGAGUUGAAGCGCUGGAGAGGUAAUAGGUCUAGACAGUACAGAACAAUAACUGGGGAGUGUGUGAGGAUAGACUGGGCUCCCCCUUGCUUGAAAGAUCUCUGGCAUUUAAUUCUCAAUUCUUGAUUACUAUUUUCCAGUGUAAAACUAGCACAUAUGAUCUGACUACAGGACAGAGAAUUUUAAGUGAAACAUUUGCCUUACUUGCAGUAAUAAUGUGCUGUUCUUCACAGUAGCUAAGGCCCUCUAUGUUUCCCAGAGGUAAAUAAGAAUCCAGGAAUGGAGGUCCAUCUGUGAUGAAUGGCUUUUUUCUAAUCAAAGUAGUAUAAUGCUGUUUUAUCUGUUUUGUCAUCUUGUUUUUUUUUUUUUUUAAAAAAACAAAACCUUAAUUAUAAUAUAGCGCAAAGAAAGGCCAGGACUGAUGCAGGGAUUCCUUGGAAAUAUCAGUUCCUAUCACUUUUAAAACCUGAUUUUGGAUCUCUCUGUUCUAUGUAUGUCUUUAGUGAGAGCACAAUACAUGGCAGAACGCUGUGCCAAAUGUUAUAGGUAAGGAAUAUAGAAAUGAAUGUUUUUUGUUGUGAAGGUGUUUUCAUGUGAUAUUUUAUAAACACAUUUUAAAAAAUCUCCAUCACUUUUUAGUAUAGGAAGGAUAGCUUUGCCUGGGAAAAACAGUUUCAACACACCUGCUCAGAGUAGCAGUUCUCCCUCAAAAAAGCAGUGUUCAGCCUGCACUGACUGUUCUGCUUGCCAAAAGGAGGAAGCAUGCAAGAUACUUAUUUCUCCAUAGAUUGUGGAGUAUAGAGGGAUGUGGGACUACAGAUUAUUAUUUUUUUUCCCCGAGACAGAGUCUUGCUCUGUCGCCCAGGUUGGAACACAAUGGCACGACCUCAGCUCACUGCAACCUCUGUCUCCCGGGUUCAAGCAAUUCUCCUGCUUCAGCCUCCUGAGUAGCUGGGAUUACAGGCACACACCACCACCGCACUCAGCUAAUUUUUGUAUUUUUAGUAGAGGUGGGGUUUUACCAUGUUGGCCAGGCUGGUCUUAAACUCCUGACCUUGUAAUCAUCCCGCCUCGGCCUCCUAAAGUGCUAGGAUUACAGGCAUGAGCCACCGCACCCGGCCCAGAUAAUUUUUAAUAGCCUUUGAUCAUGGGGUGAGUGAGGGAGUAGGUAUACUUGGCAAAUGCAUGGUUCUCUGAUUUCUAGCUCUAAAGCAGCCUUAUCUGAAUCCCCAAAUCUUGUGAUGCUGAGUACCAUUACUGAACCAGUCUGCACGGUAGGCAUCUGCUACCAAAAUUUACCUCCUACCUGGUAGGUGUCAUCUGAUAAGAAAGAAGACAGGUUAUUUUAAUUUUUUGAGAUAAUCACAGAAAAUUGCAGCCCAUACUCUUUAUUACCGAAUUCAAGUUUGGAAAUAGACCCUUUGUUUUAAAUCAUGAUGGGUCUUUAUCCCAAUCAUUUAUCUGGGUCAUUUUUCCAACUUUGGAGUUCUAGGAAAGAACCUUGAAAACCUGAUAUGAUUCUGCAGCAUGAGGUCUACGGUGACCAUUUGGGCAAAGCUCCAGUGGCAAUCAUUUAUUGUGUUUUGCAUUUCCUGGGAUUUAUUGAAAUAAGAAUUCACUGUGAUUAUGUAGUCUUCUGGCUAGUAUCAGGCAGCUCUGCUUUUAAUUUGGUUAAUUUUAUUUUCUCUGAAGAGGGAGAAGAGGUACAAUUUAAUCUUGGCCUCCACAAGCAUAUUAAAGCUCACGUGUUAAUCAGUGCAUUCUUAUGCUCCUACAUUAAAUGCCUUGGGUAAAUGGAUAAAUGGACAUGUGCCCAGCUUUAAUUUUUUUUGCAACAGAAAGAUCAGACUUCCGUAUGGCAUCGUUGGAUUUCAGAGGCUUUCUGGUGUAUCUGUAAAUCUGAAUGUUGCCUUCUGCCAGUCUGUAUAACCAGGUGAUUCAUGCUGCAAAUGAAAUCAGGAAGCAGUAAAGUGUUAAAGCAAGAGUAUUGUCCAAUUCACUUGUCUUCCUGAUCCUUGUACUUUAUUUCACGUGUCGGUGUUUACAUUACAUACUUAUAUUUCCUGUGAAAGAAAGAGUUAAAUAAAUUGUAGCAGUUUGA